rnacentral:rRNA from 1 species
AUAGCGUAUAUUAAAGUUGUUGUGGUUAAAAAGCUCGUAGUUGAACCUUGGGCCUGGCUGGCCGGUCCGCCUCACCGCGUGUACUGGUCCGGCCGGGCCUUUCCCUCUGUGGAACCCCAUGCCCUUCACUGGGUGUGGCGGGGAAACAGGAUUUUUACUUUGAAAAAAUUAGAGUGCUCCAGGCAGGCCUAUGCUCGAAUACAUUAGCAUGGAAUAAUAGAAUAGGACGUGUGGUUCUAUUUUGUUGGUUUCUAGGGCCGCCGUAAUGAUUAAUAGGGACAGUCGGGGGCAUCAGUAUUCAAUUGUCAGAGGUGAAAUUCUUGGAUUUAUUGAAGACUAACUACUG